AAACUGAUGAAUGCGAUCCUGGUAAUAUUUAUUGUCACCUGUUUGUAAAAAUUUGGAUUUAGAAGAAACUUUCUAUUUUCUGAUUU